CUGACGGGAGCAUGCCGCGUGAGUGACGAAGGUUUUCGGAUCGUAAAACUCUGUUGUAAGGGAAGAACAAGUACCAAGUAACUACUGGUACCUUGACGGUACCUUACCAGAAAGCCACGGCUAACUACGUGCCAGCAGCCGCGGUAAUACGUAGGUGGCAAGCGUUGUCCGGAAUUAUUGGGCGUAAAGCGCGCGCAGGCGGUCCCUUAAGUCUGAUGUGAAAGCCCACGGCUCAACCGUGGAGGGUCAUUGGAAACUGGGGGACUUGAGUGCAGAAGAGGAAAGUGGAAUUCCAUGUGUAGCGGUGAAAUGCGUAGAGAUGUGGAGGAACACCAGUGGCGAAGGCGACUUUCUGGUCUGUAACUGACGCUGAGGCGCGAAAGCGUGGGGAGCAAACAGGAUUAGAUACCCUGGUAGUCCACGCCGUAAACGAUGAGUGCUAAGUGUUAGGGGGUUUCCGCCCCUUAGUGCUGCAGCUAACGCAUUAAGCACUCCGCCUGGGGAGUACGGCCGCAAGGCUGAAACUCAAAG
rnacentral:rRNA from 1 species